CUGGGGGAUUUGAUGCCACAGC
rnacentral:miRNA from 1 species